rnacentral:rRNA from 1 species
GAUGAACGCUAGCUACAGGCUUAACACAUGCAAGUCGAGGGACCGGCGCACGGGUGAGUAACACGUAUCCAACCUGCCCUUUACUCGGGGAUAGCCUUUCGAAAGAAAGAUUAAUACCCGAUAUAAAGGAUGGGGAUGCGUUCCAUUAGGUUGUUGGUGAGGUAACGGCCCACCAAGCCUUCGAUGGAUAGGGGUUCUGAGAGGAAGGGGCACGAAGUGGGAAAUGGUACACGGUCCAAAAGCCUAGGCGAGGCAGCAGUGAGGAAUAUUGGUCAAAGUGGGCGAGCCUGAACAAUCUAAGUAGCGUGAAGGUAGAAUGUUUAUGUUUCGUAAACUGUUUUUAUAUAAGAAUAUUUAUUAGAUGAAUAAUGAUUGGCUAACUCCGUGCCAGCAGACGCGGUAAUAC